rnacentral:misc_RNA from 1 species
AACGCACGAGACCUGCGGACCUGCGGAAGGAUCAUUAAUGAGAAGCUGCCCCUCGUGGGUAGACCUCCCACCCUCUGUGAACUUACCUUUGUUGCUUUGGCAGGCCCGUCCUCUGGACCGCCGGCUUCGGCUGGCCCGUGCCUGCCAGAGGAUUCCAAACUCUGUCUGUCAGUGUUGUCUGAGUCUAUAUGAAAUCGUUAAAACUUUUAACAAUGGAUCUCUAGAUCGGAAGAGCACACG